UACGUAGGGGGCUAGCGUUGUCCGGAAUCAUUGGGCGUAAAGAGCGUGUAGGCGGCCCGGUAAGUCGGCUGUAAAAGUCAAAGGCUCAACCUUUGAAUGUCAGUGGAUACUGCCGGGCUAGAGUCCGGAAGAGGCGAGUGGAACUCCUGGUGUAGCGGUGGAAUGCGCAGAUAUCAGGAAGAACACCAACGGCGAAGGCAGCUCGCUGGGACGGUACUGACGCUGAGACGCGAAAGCGUGGGGAGCGAACAGG
rnacentral:rRNA from 1 species